rnacentral:rRNA from 1 species
GCAUACGGCUCAGUAACACGUAGUCAACAUGCCCAGGGGACGUGGAUAACCUCGGGAAACUGAGGAUAAACCGCGAUAGGUCAUAAUAUCUGGAAUGAUUUCUGGCUGAAAUCUAUAUGGCCCCUGGAUUGGACUGCGGCCGAUCAGGCUGUUGGUGAGGUAAUGGCCCACCAAACCUAAAACCGGUACGGGCUCUGAGAGGAGAAGCCCGGAGAUGGGCACUGAGACAAGGGCCCAGGCCCUAUGGGGCGCAGCAGGCGCGAAAACUCUGCAAUAAGCGAAAGCUUGACAGGGUUAUUCUGAGUGAUUUCCGCUAAGGAAAUCUUUUGGCACCUCUAAAAAUGGUGCAGAAUAAGGGGUGGGCAAGCCUGGUGUCAGCCGCCGCGGUAAUACCAGCACCCCGAGUGGUCGGGACGAUUAUUGGGCCUAAAGCAUCCGUAGCCGGUUCUACAAGUCUUCCGUUAAAUCCACCUGCUUAACAGAUGGGCUGCGGAGGAUACUAUGGAGCUAGGAGGCGGGAGAGGCAAGCGGUACUUAGUGGGUAGGGGUAAAAUCCGUUGAUCCAUUGAAGACCACCAGUGGCGAAGGCGGCUUGCCAGAACGCACUCGACGGUGAGGGAUGAAAGCUGGGGGAGCAAACCGGAUUAGAUACCCGGGUAGUCCCAGCUGUAAACGA